GAUGAACGCUGGCGGCGUGCCUAAUACAUGCAAGUCGAGCGAACAGACGAGGAGCUUGCUCCUCUGACGUUAGCGGCGGACGGGUGAGUAACACGUGGAUAACCUACCUAUAAGAUUGGGAUAACUUCGGGAAACCGGAGCUAAUACCGGAUAAUAUAUUGAACCGCAUGGUUCAAUAGUGAAAGACGGUUUUGCUGUCACUUAUAGAUGGAUCCGCGCCGCAUUAGCUAGUUGGUAAGGUAACGGCUUACCAAGGCAACGAUGCGUAGCCGACCUGAGAGGGGAGGCGGCGGCACGGGAACGGAGCCGCGGUCCAGAGGCCGACGGGAGGGAGGAGUGGGGGAGGGGGGGAGAUGGGCGAAAGCAUGACGGAGCAAGGGCGCGUGAGAGAUGAAAGUCUUCGAGUAGUAAGACGCGGUUAUUAGGGAAGAACAAAUGGGGAAGGGACUAUGCACGUCUUGACGGGAGCGAAUAAGAAAGGCAAGGGUAACUACGGG
rnacentral:rRNA from 1 species